rnacentral:rRNA from 1 species
GAUGAACGCUGGCGGCGUGCCUAAUACAUGCAAGUCGAGCGAACAAACGGGGUGCUUUCUCCUCUGCCGUUAGCGUCGGACAGGUGAGUGAAACAUGGAUAUAACAUCUCUCAUACUUCGGUAACUUCGCAUAACCGGAGCUCUUACACGGUAAUAUCUUGAACUGCCUGAUUCAAUAUUUGGGGAAGGUUUUGCUGUCACUUAUAGAUGGAUCCGCGCCGCAUUAGCUAGUAUGUACGGUUACGGCAUGCCAAGGCAACGAUGCGUAGCCGACCUGAGAGGGGGAUCUGGCACACUGGAACGGAGACGCGGUCCAGACUACUACGGGAGGCAGCAGUAGGGAAUCUUCCGCAACGGGCGAAAGCCUGGCGGAGCAACGCCGCGUGAGGGAUGAAGGUCUUCGGAUCGUAAAACUCUCUUAUUUGGGAAGUGCAAAUGUGUAACUAACUGUGCACGGCUUGACGGUAGCUAAUCAGAAAGCCACGGCUAACUACGUG